rnacentral:lncRNA from 1 species
AAUGUGUAUUUUGCAUAAAUUGCUCGCUCUUGUCUGAGCUUCUUGUCCGUUGAAUGUGACUUUACUGCUAUGGUUCCAUCAGGAGAAAAAUAGAGCACCCUCUUCCAGCGUUUCGUUCGAGCUUGUAUGGUUCGACUAGUAUUUUGGUCCGUAGCGUUCGAGGUCGUCGAAUCCGUCCGAGGUAUUCCUUCGUUUCAUCUUAUGUUAUCAUCUGUUUUUGAGCGGAUUUGUUUUACAGGGAAAUCAAAAUCGAGCCAUAUUUUGCUGUAAUUUUUUUCUUUUGAAAUUUAAAAGCAAAACACACUUGAGAUAAUAGCCGGAAUAUAAAUAAUUGAAGUUCUUAAAGAUUCAUUAGUGUCACGCUUGAUGCAGAUCCAUAAUUGCUGCUAAAAGUUUGAUCAGACUGUGCCCCUAUUUACAAUGUCGAAGAGUGGUGCUGCAUCUUCGGUAUGGUGGAAAAGUGAGAAUUUGGGAAAGCGUAGAUGGGUUUUCAUGGUGUUCCUUGGGUUACUCAUACUACAUGGAUUGGCUAUUCUGGUAUUUACCAGAGGUUUCCUCCUUACUCGCACUGAACUUUCUC